GUGGGUAGCAAACAGGAUUAGAUACCCUGGUAGUCCACGCCGUAAACGAUGUCGACCAGCCGUUGGGUGCCUAGCGCACUUUGUGGCGAAGUUAACGCGAUAAGUCGACCGCCUGGGGAGUACGGCCGCAAGGUUAAAACUCAAAUGAAUUGACGGGGGCCCGCACAAGCGGUGGAGCAUGUGGUUUAAUUCGAUGCAACGCGAAGAACCUUACCUACUCUUGACAUCCUGCGAAUUUGGUAGAGAUACCUUAGUGCCUUCGGGAACGCAGAGACAGGUGCUGCAUGGCUGUCGUCAGCUCGUGUUGUGAAAUGUUGGGUUAAGUCCCGUAACGAGCGCAACCCUUGUCCUUAUUUGCCAGCGCGUAAUGGCGGGAACUCUAAGGAGACUGCCGGUGACAAACCGGAGGAAGGUGGGGACGACGUCAAGUCAUCAUGGCCCUUACGAGUAGGGCUACACACGUGCUACAAUGGUCGGUACAAAGGGUUGCCAACUCGCGAGAGUGAGCCAAUCCCGAAAAGCCGAUCUCAGUCCGGAUCGGAGUCUGCAACUCGACUCCGUGAAGUCGGAAUCGCUAGUAAUCGUGGAUCAGAAUGCCACGGUGAAUACGUUCCCGGGCCUUGUACACACCGCCCGUCACACCAUGGGAG
rnacentral:rRNA from 1 species